UUAUCGUACGAAUUAACUAAUUUCCAAAAUGACUGCCUCCAUGGACGCGAUGGAGGAGGAACAAGGAAAAGGGCAUGUACUGGAAGAGUUUAAGGAUCUACAAGAAGUAAAAAGUCUGAUUGCAUCCCUGAAAAAUACCUACAAUGACCAGGUUGCGAGGGAGGCGUCCUGUGAAAGAUUCACAUUUAUCAUUGAUGAGUAUCAGGAGCAGCCACACCUUAUAGAUCCACACCUGGAGUCCCUUGUGAUGCAGAUAAUUGAUAUUGUAAGAAAUCCCAGCCAUCCACCAGCACUGAAACAGGAAGCUUACAAAUACUUGUAUCUCAUAACCAAGAUGAGAGGGUUUAAAAUUGUGAUACGUCAGUUUCCACAUGAAGUAGCAGAUGUCGAGCCAGUGUUGUCAGCCAUUAGCCAGCAGGAACCACAGGAUUUCCAGACCUGGGAGACUCGCUACAUGCUGAUUCUGUGGGUCUCGGUCGUGUGUAUGAUCCCCUUUGACAUGGUCAGACUGGACAGCAAUAUUCCCUCCUCAGGGGGAGAGAAGAAACAGCCCGUCAUGGAUAGAAUCCUGAACAUUGCACGGACCUACCUUACAGUCAAUGACAAAUGUCGCGAUGCUGCAGCUUUCCUUGCAGCCAAAUUCUGCACUCGUCCCGAUGUCCGAAAAGAAAAACUCCCAGAGUUCUUAGACUGGUCUCUGCAAGUCCUCCACAAUGCUAACAUGGACACAAUUGUUGGAAACAACCAAGUCAGUGGGGUGUUAACAAUGCUAGCUCUUCUGUUCAAAAAUGGAAAAAGAGAAGAUCUUCUGGAGUUUGCUGCACCAGUUCUUCAAGUCGUAGAGAAAUUGGAGUUGAAUAAAAACAACAACACGCUUUUGAGAAAAGCUGCAGUCAAGGUCAUCCAGAGGCUUGGUCUGACUUUUCUGAAGGCCAGGGUAGCUGCAUGGAGAUACCAGCGGGGAAACCGUUCACUAUUAGACAAUCUGCUGAAGAGAGGGAAUGUUCAGCCGACCGUGAAUCAAACACAAGCUGUGGAGGAAGAGGAGGAGGAAUAUGACCUUCCAGAGGAGCUGGAGGAUGUCAUAGAGUACCUCCUCGGUGGACUCAAGGACAAAGAUACCAUUGUCAGAUGGUCUGCUGCAAAGGGGAUUGGCAGAGUCACAGGUCGUCUUCCAAUGGAGCUAGCAGAUGAAGUGGUGGGAUCAGUCCUACAAUUAUUUACUCUACUAGAGACAGAGGGGGCCUGGCAUGGGGGUUGCCUGACGCUGGCAGAGCUGGGUAGGCGUGGCUUGUUGCUCCCUCAGAGGCUCCCUGAUGUGGUACCUGUCAUGUUGAAGUCGCUGGAGUAUGAUGAGAGAAGAGGUGAUUUCUCUGUUGGAGCCAAUGUGCGGGAUGCAGCCUGUUAUGUCAGCUGGGCAUUUGCUAGGGCCUACAAUCCUGGAGACAUGGCCAAAUAUGUGAAAGACAUCGCAAAUGCCUUGGUGAAGGUGUCAAUAUUUGACCGAGAGGUCAACGUUCGGCGGGCGGCAGCUGCUGCCUUUCAGGAGAAUGUGGGGCGACAGGGAAUUUUCCCCCAUGGCAUUGACAUCCUGACACACGCUGACUAUUUUGCAGUAGGGAACAGGUCUCAUUGCUUCCUGGACUUGAGUGUUUACAUAGCUCAGUUCCCAGAGUACACUGUGGCGCUAAUUAAUCACCUGGCUGAUGUAAAGGUUAGCCACUGGGACAGCUCUAUGAGAGAACUCUCAGCCCGAGGACUUCAUAACCUUACCCCUAAAGCUCCAGAGCUUAUGGCUGAGCAAGUGUUACCAAGACUGAUCCCCUUGACAACAGGAAUGGAUCUGUUUGCUAGGCACGGUGCCAUACUGGCUGUCGCAGAAAUCACUCAUGCUCUAGCUAAAGUAGCAGAAGACAAAAAUAAGUCUAUCACAGAUGUUUUAAGUGAAGAAGUCAUAGAAGGAAUGAAAAAUAUCAUUAAACUGUUAAACACUGCCAACCUUUUCCGUGGCUGGGGCGGGGACCUGAUGAGGAAGGCCAUGACUUGUCUGAUAGAGAAGCUGUCCCUGGCCAAGUUACCUUUCCACGGGGAUCCCGUCCUGGAUCUUUGGCAGGAUUUGAUUAGUGGAUGUUUACAACAUGUUGAACAAGAUGUUCAGAUAGCAGCAGCCCAAGCCAUUCCUGCAUUCUACAGAGAGUAUUUUAUGGAGGGUGAUGGAUCCCCAAAGAAAGACAAGCAAGAAUGGGUGGUCAGGAAGUACACCCAGGAGCUGAAGAGUAACAUGGAAACUACCAGGAAGGGCUUUUCCCUAGCUCUUGGGGCUUUACCCAAGUUCUUUCUCCAAGGACAGCUAGAGGUUGUCUUCACAAGUUUGUUUGAAGCUGCUGAAAUCAAAGAGAAGGAAAAGAAAUGGGUGGAGGCCAGGAGAGACGCCAUUAAGGCCAUCACUAAUAUAUGUACUGCGGUUGGGGUGGGAAACUCGCCCCAGGGGAGCCUGUGUGCCGACAAUGUCCCUGCUGUCUAUAACGCCCUGCUGAGGGCCAUGACAGACUACACUUUGGACAGUCGAGGCGACGUCGGAGCUUGGGUGCGAGAGGCAAGCAUGACUGGGCUACAGGAAGUGACAUCACUUCUGGUCAACAACAAGCCGGAAUUGUUUACAGCGGAUAUAUGUACGAGAGCCAUGCAGUGUCUGGUCCAGCAGUGCUGUGAGAAGAUUGACAGGACGCGAUCUCACGCCGGACAGAUCUUCUCGGUGUUCCUGUCUCAUGAACCUGAAAUACCUCAUAUUCCCCACAGAGAAGAACUACACCAAAUAUUUCCUAAAUCUGAGCUAGGAGACAUUAAUUGGGGCGCUCCGUCGGACACGUUCUGUCGAUUCACCCAGCUGCUGGGACUGGAGACGUACAUGUAUAACGUGUUACUGGGGCUCACUGUCAGCGUGGGAGGACUCACAGAGUCACUGGUGAUUCACUCCAGUUCUUCUCUACAUGUUUACCUAAGGUCUAUAAGUAAGGACUUAACAAAGAUGACUCACUUUGGAGAGGUGUUGUUACAGAUAUUUAAAGAUUACCAGAAAGUUGACAGGGUGUCCUUUCCUAUGCUGAAGAUGCUGGACCAGCUUUUGUCGAAAGGUUGUUUUGAUGUGUUCUCUGGUGUGAACCAACACCAGUUUCCCUUGUCUGUGAUAGAUAUAGUGAAGACUGAAGUGACACGCAGUGGAGAUCCCCAUAAGCUGAUCGCUAGCGUUGAAGUACAAUGAUGUAUGUUAAUUGUAGCAGUAAUUUAUGCUGUCGAAAUUAAAUCUGCUGUGGGAUGGGGGUCACAGACUAUUGUGGAGAAGCAGUGUGACCCCACUCAGCGACUUUGCCUUGGACUGAACCAGAAGACAAACGAGGACAGAAGACAUAUACUUCCAAGGAAACGGGGUCACUGCUCAGAAAUCUGGUUGUCUGUCAUGUUCAUUGUAAUCUACGACUUGCCAUGCGGUAAUGACUCCGGAUGCUGUAUAAUUAAUCCACCAAAGCAAGGCUGGGGUCCUCAGAGAAAGGUUGACAUUCUCCUGAACAGUUCAAUCUUGUAAUCUUUUCUUAGUAAACAUACAUCUUGCUGUGUAAUGCAUGAUAUAGAGGAGUCCUCCAUGAUUUAUCAUGACCAAGCACUAUCAUUCCUCCUGGCUUUUACCACAUGCAGAAUUACUGAAGCAUGAUUACUGUAAUGCCAAAUAUCUGCAGAGUUGCAAACUGAUGCAUUUGUAUUUAAGAGUUGAUGCAUUUAUUCAUUCUUAUAAUGAUAGAUAAAGCAGUGGAAAUGCUAAGCAAUACAAUAUUUCCAUAUCUUGACUUUCUUAAAGAUCUCAGUCAACUCUCAAGAAUGUUUGUUGGAACUUCGGCAGAAGACCAUCUGAGGGUAUCUUAUACCAGAAAUUGCGGCUUGUUGCAGUUUGAGGGGGAAGUCAGGAAGAAGGCUCUCC